UACGUAGGGACCAAGCGUUGUCCGGAUUUACUGGGCGUAAAGGGCGCGUAGGCGGCAAUUCAAGUCAUCUGUGAAAUCUCCGGGCUUAACCCGGAACGGUCAGAUGAUACUGCUUUGCUAGAGUGCGGAAGGGGCAAUCGGAAUUCUUGGUGUAGCGGUGAAAUGCGUAGAUAUCAAGAGGAACACCUGAGGUGAAGACGGGUUGCUGGGCCGACACUGACGCUGACAGCGCGAAAGCCAGGGGAGCAAACGGG
rnacentral:rRNA from 1 species